rnacentral:rRNA from 1 species
UACCAGCACCCCGAGUGGUCGGGACGUUUAUUGGGCCUAAAGCAUCCGUAGCCGGUUCUACAAGUCUUCCGUUAAAUCCAACUGCUUAACAGGUGGGCUGCGGAAGAUACUAUAGAGCUAGGAGGCGGGAGAGGCAAGCGGUACUCGAUGGGUAGGGGUAAAAUCCGUUGAUCCAUUGAAGACCACCAGUGGCGAAGGCGGCUUGCCAGAACGCACUCGACGGUGAGGGAUGAAAGCUGGGGAGCAAACCGG